rnacentral:misc_RNA from 1 species
GGAAGGAGGCAGUGGCGGU